rnacentral:lncRNA from 12 species
GGCGGCUGCCGGCACCGAGCCCGGCGCCACGGCGGGGGCACCGCAGCCCUGCCCUUCAGAGGCUUCGCAUCCACAGCGCCGGGGCUGGACGUCGGGGAGCAGUUGCUUUCCUGGGGAGACCUGGUGAAUUGCUGGCGGAGACUUUGAAACACCUGCGCGAGGUGGGCUGCGGGGCCACCCCGCCACCCCACCACCGUGGCUGGGCUGCUCUCGCCUCUCUGCCCGCCGUCCCCUCAAGACCCAUCCCUCCUCUGCGACCCCAGUCCCCCGAGACAAUACUGUGACCCCACACUGCAGCCACUGAUGCUAGGGCUCAGCUCCGUGCCCCACCCCAACUGUAAGCGCCCCCAGGGCAGCCUGCGUCUUGGCGGACGGGCACAGGGCGAGGUCAAGAGACAGCUGUGCGAGGGGUCACGGGGGUGCCCGGCUGACCCGGUGGGUGCCAAGCCACGUGGGCCGGGCGUGGAGCUUCCCAGCCCUGGGUGUCGUGCCCUGGAGACUGGGUGGGGAACGGCCAGAAGGCCCGCAGCGCGCGGGCGGGAGUGUCCCUUUGCCACCGACCUUCUGGGCAAAUCCAUUCAUCGCAGGGGCAGCCGAGGCUGCGGCCCAGCGGCUCACCCCACCCUGGGAGGUGGCCGCCCAACGCCCGGGGAGGCUUGGGAAAUGGGCGAAGUGGUCAGACUGGUUUCCGGAGCCGGGCUCGGAAUCCACGCGGGCUGGCAGGCGUUGGUGGGGGAGGACCGAACCCCACCAGCGGCAUCAGAGGCCACCUCGGGAGGCUUUGUUUUCUGCCCUCGAAGGUGUCUGUCAAGCAAACAAAAUGGAAACGAGCCUGCCCACUUGAAAGGUGGGAAUACUGACUUUCCAGAGAGGAGUCCGAGCUUGCAAGGUGCAGACGCUGGCGGGGCUUCCCUGGAUUCCUCCGAACUUGGAACAGAGGCUUGGCAGCGCUGAGCGCCCCAGCCGGAGGGGGCGCCCGGGUUAGCACCUGAUGGACAGUGGACAGGGAGAGGAAGAAGCGAAGUCUGAGGCUUGAGCCACCUCGCCCAAAGCAUCUCUUCCAUUUCUGUGCCCUUCCCCUUUUCUCUUCCCCCACACUUGUCCCUGGCACACCCUCUCCUUCAGAUCCGCGUCCCCGCAUAGGUGCCAGCUCACCCCUGACCCGGGCACUUCGGAGUGGUGCGGGCGCGGGUAAAGCCUGGCUAGACCCCUCCGCCCCCCAUGCAGUCCCUGCACCCCCUCCGCCCACCCUCUGCAUUUCACCUGGAUGCAACCCUGCGGCCCCGACUGGUGCAAAGUGGGCAGCGAACUUUUUGCCUGACCCGACUCAGGCAUUUGCUCUUUGAAAUUCCCGACCACCCGUGGAUGGGGAGGUGGGGGGGAGCUUUUCACCCCGCUGCCUCGCCUCAGAGCCGGGCCACCCUGGGGCCUGUGACGGUGGCCCUCGCUGCUAAAGCCCUGCGCCCCACACCCGCAGCCCGCCACCGUCCUUCCCGCUCGCGGUGCCCCCUUCCCAUGGGCUUCUGUGAUCCCAGCGCUCCCGGGGGGGCGCACUUAGCUCUGGCUCUCGGGCAAACGAAGCCUUUACUCUGGCCCUUGCAGGACAUACGGCGCCCCCCUCGGGAGGGGAGGCUGCUUGCGGCCCAAUAGGUCCAACCUCUCCUGUUAGCUUGGGGGUACAGGAAAUGGGGAGUAGAGUUCUGGGACCCACCAUCCUGGGGCUGCUAGACAGUCAGAGCCGGCGGUACAACAAGGUGGGCAGGACACCCUCUCCUGCAAACUUAAGGUUCGGAAGCUUAAAAGUGACAACGCCCUGCAAGGCGUUCAACUGGAGCCCUUCUCUACUCUUCAUGCUGUGACCUCCCUAGUCUCUGAAAGGGAGAAACUGAGGCUGGGAGUGUGAUAGGGAGGCCUGGGAUGCCAACUUCCCUGUGUUUCGCAGCUAGGAAAAGUCUCCGGGGGCGUCCAGAAUCUUUGCUGGGUCAUUCUAGGGGUGCCCUACCCCCCCCAAGAAGCUGUGAUAGCUCCCACAUCACUGGGAAGAACACGAUACCUCUGAGGUCUGUCUGCACCACCCGAGGAGGCUAGAGAAGUCAGGAUGGAAACCGCAUUCAAAAGGCAGCAUGAAUGAACGCAGGAGGAGAGGGACCGGGACUCCCUGUCCCAACCCAGCAGCCCUGGAUCUCCAGAGACAGCCCCCUCCCGCACCUCCUCAGUCUCUUGGCACCAGCCUCCCUUCCUGCUGAAAUGGCCAGUCCUUCCCCGGCGGCGGGACUAAUUCUCUGCCCACUUUCCCUCCUGCCGGCCCAUCUCUGCAGCAUGCUCCACCUCGCAGCAAUUCCUAGUGCACUUUGCUCCUGUAACCCCGAUUUUAAAAGGAACUUAAGAAUUGUUCUGAAAGAAGUGACCGUGAGGGUGGCAUCUUAGUGGCAAGCCCGAGCCUCCACCACCUCCUUAAUAAAUAUAAAACUUGCAUCUUUGGGGAAGAGAUA